CCUACGGGGAGCAGCAGUGAGGAAUAUUGGUCAAUGGACGAGAGUCUGAACCAGCCAAGUAGCGUGAAGGAUGACUGCCCUAUGGGUUGUAAACUUCUUUUAUAUGGGAAUAAAAUGUUCCACGUGUGGGAUUUUGUAUGUACCAUAUGAAUAAGGAUCGGCUAACUCCGUGCCAGCAGCCGCGGUAAUACGGAGGAUCCGAGCGUUAUCCGGAUUUAUUGGGUUUAAAGGGAGCGUAGGUGGAUUGUUAAGUCAGUUGUGAAAGUUUGCGGCUCAACCGUAAAAUUGCAGUUGAAACUGGCAGUCUGGAGUACAGUAGAGGUGGGCGGAAUUCGUGGUGUAGCGGUGAAAUGCUUAGAUAUCACGAAGAACUCCGAUUGCGAAGGCAGCUCACUGGACUGCAACUGACACUGAGGCUCGAAAGUGUGGGUAUCAAACAGGAUUAGAUACCCCAGUAGUC
rnacentral:rRNA from 1 species